CAUUCAGUAACACCAACAAACACAUUAAAGUUUGCUUAUCCUCACAAUGCAGUCAGAUUGCACUUCCUACAUUCCAAAAUGUUUCACAACAGCUGAAGUCCACACAUCAUGUUGUUUUGAUUUCCUGUGUAUCAUGAGAUUAUAUAACUACAGUAUCAUAAAAACCUUAAACAAAUAAAUAAUUAGAUCUCUGCUUGUAGAGGAUAUUAUAAUCGAAUUAUUAAGACGAGACUUCAGAAAUAUCUGCUGAGUACUGGAAGAAGCAGUCUGAAGUGACUCUUCUGAAAUUUUCAUUGAGGUAUUCAAGAAUGUAUGUCUAACAUGGGCCCAUUCCAACAAGGAUGUUCCUGACUGUUUUGCUCAGUGUUACCUAUGUUACAUCAUCCUCCAACAUAGCAGCAAGAAUUCCAAAGAUAUUUAUAAGUGUGUAGAAAGAUUAUCAGUUGGGCUCUUAGUGUGUCUGAAGCUGCUUAACAUAAAGGGCUCUGUGUCCUAUAGGCAAUAGGAAAUCAUGCUUACAUUACACCACCCUUUCGUGGUGGUAUUUGUAGGAAAGUGGUUGUGGAGAUGACCAAUCUUUGCUGCAUUCCCCACAUCAACACCCUGACCAAUCAGAGUCAACCUGCCUGGUCAGAGAACUAAGAUUAACAGUUAACUGUUCCUGCUGUCCUGCCAUGUCAAUGAUGCUCUCACCAAUUAGCACCCUCAUAUCAUGCUGUAUAAGUUGGUGCUCCCUGUCUAACUCUGCUGUCUGCAUGCAGACCUUCCAAAUGUCAAAAAAAAAGUUUGUACUCUCACAAAUAGCAAUUGUUGCUGCAGUACACAGUGCUUGCCUCUGACCUUACUCCACUACAAGAGUUUACAUCAUGUGUUUGGCUGUGAAUAUUUCAAUUUUGCAGUGUCACCUUUUGAAACAUUUUCAACUGCUUUUUCAAAAUAGAUAUUUUGUAACCCAAACUCUCCUCUUUCUACGGUAUUCACUUUUGAGAUUGUUCAUUGAAUUUUAGCAGACAUUCUACAAUAAACUUAGAAUUAAAUAACAGA